CCUGGGUAGUAUAUUGGUGAUACCCACUAGUGUCCCUGGGUAGUAUAUUGGUGAUAUCCACUAGUGUCCCUGGGUAGUAUAUUGGUGAUAUCCACUAGUGUCCCUGGGUAGUAUAUUGGUGAUAUCCACUAGUGUCCCUGGGUAGUAUAUUGGUGGUACCCACUAGUGUCCCUGGGUAGUAUAUUGGUGAUAUCCACUAGUGUCCCUGGGUAGUAUAUUGGUGAUAUCAACUAGUGUCCCUGGGUAGUAUAUUGGUGAUAUCCACUAGUGUCCCUGGGUAGUAUAUUGGUGAUAUCCACUAGUGUCCCUGGGUAGUAUAUUGGUGAUAUCCACUAGUGUCCCUGGGUAGUAUAUUGGUGAUAUCCACUAGUGUCCCUGGGUAGUAUAUUGGUGGUACCCACUAGUGUCCCUGGGUAAUAUAUUGGUGAUAUCCACUAGUGUCCCUGGGUAGUAUAUUGGUGAUAUCCACUAGUGUCCCUGGGUAGUAUAUUGGUGAUAUCCACUAGUGUCCCUGGGUAGUAUAUUGGUGAUAUCCACUAGUGUCCCUGGGUAGUAUAUUGGUGAUAUCCACUAGUGUCCCUGGGUAGUAUAUUGGUGAUAUCCACUAGUGUCCCUGGGUAGUAUAUUGGUGGUACCCACUAGUGUCCCUGGGUAGUAUAUUGGUGGUACCCACUAGUGUCCCUGGGUAGUAUAUUGGUGAUACCCACUAGUGUCCCUGGGUAGUAUAUUGGUGAUAUCCACUAGUGUCCCUGGGUAGUAUAUUGGUGAUAUCCACUAGUGUCCCUGGGUAGUAUAUUGGUGAUAUCCACUAGUGUCCCUGGGUAGUAUAUUCCUUAAGUUGGUUGGUGAUAUCCACUAGUGUUCCUGGGUAGUAUAUUGGUGAUAUCCACUAGUGUCCCUGGGUAGUAUAUUGGUGAUAUCCACUAGUGUCCCUGGGUAGUAUAUUGGUGGUACCCACUAGUGUCCCUGGGUAGUAUAUUGGUGAUAUCCACUAGUGUCCCUGGGUAGUAUAUUACUUAUGGUUGGUUGGUGAUAUCCACUAGUGUCCCUGGGUAGUAUAUUACUUAUGGUUGGUUGGUGAUAUCCACUAGUGUCCCUGGGUAGUAUAUUGGUGAUAUCCACUAGUGUCCCUGGGUAGUAUAUUGGUGAUAUCCACUAGUGUCCCUGGGUAGUAUAUUCCUUAUGGUUGGUUGGUGAUAUCCACUAGUGUCCCUGGGUAGUAUAUUGGUGAUAUCCACUAGUGUCCCUGGGUAGUAUAUUGGUGGUAUCCACUAGUGUCCCUGGGUAGUAUAUUGGUGGUACCCACUAGUGUCCCUGGGUAGUAUAUUGGUGGUACCCACUAGUGUCCCUGGGUAGUAUAUUGGUGAUAUCCACUAGUGUCCCUGGGUAGUAUAUUGGUGGUAUCCACUAGUGUCCCUGGGUAGUAUAUUGGUGGUACCCACUAGUGUCCCUGGGUAGUAUAUUGGUGAUAUCCACUAGUGUCCCUGGGUAGUAUAUUGGUGAUAUCCACUAGUGUCCCUGGGUAGUAUAUUGGUGAUAUCCACUAGUGUCCCUGGGUAGUAUAUUGGUGAUAUCCACUAGUGUCCCUGGGUAGUAUAUUUCUUAUGGUUGGUUGGUGGUAUCCACUAGUGUCCCUGGGUAGUAUAUUCCUUAUGGUUGGUUGGUGAUAUCCACUAGUGUCCCUGGGUAGUAUAUUGGUGAUAUCAACUAGUGUCCCUGGGUAGUAUAUUGGUGAUAUCCACUAGUGUCCCUGGGUAGUAUAUUGGUGGUACCCACUAGUGUCCCUGGGUAAUAUAUUGGUGAUAUCCACUAGUGUCCCUGGGUAGUAUAUUGGUGAUAUCCACUAGUGUCCCUGGGUAGUAUAUUGGUGAUAUCCACUAGUGUCCCUGGGUAGUAUAUUGGUGAUAUCCACUAGUGUCCCUGGGUAGUAUAUUGGUGAUAUCCACUAGUGUCCCUGGGUAGUAUAUUGGUGAUAUCCACUAGUGUCCCUGGGUAGUAUAUUCCUUAAGUUGGUUGGUGAUAUCCACUAGUGUUCCUGGGUAGUAUAUUGGUGAUAUCCACUAGUGUCCCUGGGUAGUAUAUUGGUGAUAUCCACUAGUGUCCCUGGGUAGUAUAUUGGUGGUACCCACUAGUGUCCCUGGGUAGUAUAUUGGUGAUAUCCACUAGUGUCCCUGGGUAGUAUAUUACUUAUGGUUGGUUGGUGAUAUCCACUAGUGUCCCUGGGUAGUAUAUUACUUAUGGUUGGUUGGUGAUAUCCACUAGUGUCCCUGGGUAGUAUAUUGGUGAUAUCCACUAGUGUCCCUGGGUAGUAUAUUGGUGAUAUCCACUAGUGUCCCUGGGUAGUAUAUUCCUUAUGGUUGGUUGGUGAUAUCCACUAGUGUCCCUGGGUAGUAUAUUGGUGAUAUCCACUAGUGUCCCUGGGUAGUAUAUUGGUGGUAUCCACUAGUGUCCCUGGGUAGUAUAUUGGUGGUACCCACUAGUGUCCCUGGGUAGUAUAUUGGUGGUACCCACUAGUGUCCCUGGGUAGUAUAUUGGUGAUAUCCACUAGUGUCCCUGGGUAGUAUAUUGGUGGUAUCCACUAGUGUCCCUGGGUAGUAUAUUGGUGGUACCCACUAGUGUCCCUGGGUAGUAUAUUGGUGAUAUCCACUAGUGUCCCUGGGUAGUAUAUUGGUGAUAUCCACUAGUGUCCCUGGGUAGUAUAUUGGUGAUAUCCACUAGUGUCCCUGGGUAGUAUAUUGGUGAUAUCCACUAGUGUCCCUGGGUAGUAUAUUGGUGAUAUCCACUAGUGUCCCUGGGUAGUAUAUUGGUGAUAUCCACUAGUGUCCCUGGGUAGUAUAUUUCUUAUGGUUGGUUGGUGGUAUCCACUAGUGUCCCUGGGUAGUAUAUUCCUUAUGGUUGGUUGGUGGUAUCCACUAGUGUCCCUGGGUGGUAUUAUGGGUCGGUGUAGUUAGUCCUAGUUGGAACCAGUUGACAGUGACACCCAUAAUAAGAAUCCAGACCUCAUUUGUAACACUUCCCAAGUGUGACACCAGCAGAGGUCCCAUCAGGAACUCUUGUUUUAUUAACAAGUGUGACACCAGCAGAGGUCCCAUCAGGAACUCUUGUUUUAUUAACAAGUGUGCAUUUAAUUGGUGCUGUGUCUUAAAAUAACUCUUUGUUGUGUAAUUUCCAUGUCAGUCUGAAUUAGGAUUACUCCUGGGGGUAUGGGACCAAUGCUCAGUUUUGUUGUUAUUGUCAGUUUGAUUUUAUACAUGGAACUAAUAACGUGUAUGUUUUCAGCUUUACGGAUUUCUUUUGCAGAGUUGAAGUUAUGAUUGUUUUGAUUGUAAGUGAUGAUUUUCAGUGUUAUCAGUAUUUGGUUGUGAUUAACUAAAACCGUGUGUCAUUGACUAACAUUAAGGCUAUCAGAUGAUUUAUCAUUCAGGGAUAUAUUACCUUGAUGUUGCUUAAUAUUCAAGAUAGAAACAGGAACAGGUGUAACUACCUGGUAUUACUGUUGAUAUAGUGGUAACAGGUGUGCCUACCUGGUAUUACUGUUAAUAUAGUGAUAACAGGUGUGCCUACCUGGUAUUACUGUUAAUAUAGUGAUAACAGGUGUGCCUACCUGUAUUACUGUUAAUAUAGAGGUAACAGGUGUGCCUACCUGGUAUUACCAUUCAUAUAGUGGAAACAGGUGUGCCUACCUGGUAUUACUGUUAAUAUAGUGAUAACAGGUGUAACUACCUGGUAUUACUGUUAAUAUAGUGGUAACAGGUGUGCCUACCUGGUAUUACUGUUAAUAUAGUGGUAACAGGUGUGCCUACCUGGUAUUACUGUUAAUAUAGUGGUAACAGGUGUGCCUACCUGGUAUUACUGUUAAUAUAGUGAUAACAGGUGUGCCUACCUGGUAUUACUGUUAAUAUAGUGAUAACAGGUGUGCCUACCUGGUGUUACUGUUAAUAUAGUGGUAACAGGUGUGCCUACCUGGUAUUACUGUUAAUAUAGUGGUAACAGGUGUGCCUACCUGGUAUUACUGUUAAUAUAGUGGUAACAGGUGUGCCUACCUUGUAUUACUGUUAAUACAGUGAUAACAGAACAGGUGUGCCUACCUGGUAUUACUGUUAAUAUAGUGAUAACAGGUGUGCCUACCUGGUAUUACUGUUAAUAUAGUGAUAACAGGUGUGCCUACCUGUAUUACUGUUAAUAUAGAGGUAACAGGUGUGCCUACCUGGUAUUACCAUUCAUAUAGUGGAAACAGGUGUGCCUACCUGGUAUUACUGUUAAUAUAGUGAUAACAGGUGUAACUACCUGGUAUUACUGUUAAUAUAGUGGUAACAGGUGUGCCUACCUGGUAUUACUGUUAAUAUAGUGGUAACAGGUGUGCCUACCUGGUAUUACUGUUAAUAUAGUGGUAACAGGUGUGCCUACCUGGUAUUACUGUUAAUAUAGUGAUAACAGGUGUAACUACCUGGUAUUACUGUUAAUAUAGUGGUAACAGGUGUGCCUACCUGGUAUUACUGUUAAUAUAGUGAUAACAGGUGUGCCUACCUGGUAUUACUGUUAAUAUAGUGAUAACAGGUGUGCCUACCUGGUAUUACUGUUAAUAUAGUGAUAACAGGUGUGCCUACCUGUAUUACUGUUAAUAUAGAGGUAACAGGUGUGCCUACCUGGUAUUACCAUUCAUAUAGUGGAAACAGGUGUGCCUACCUGGUAUUACUGUUAAUAUAGUGAUAACAGGUGUAACUACCUGGUAUUACUGUUAAUAUAGUGGUAACAGGUGUGCCUACCUGGUAUUACUGUUAAUAUAGUGGUAACAGGUGUGCCUACCUGGUAUUACUGUUAAUAUAGUGGUAACAGGUGUGCCUACCUGGUAUUACUGUUAAUAUAGUGGUAACAGGUGUGCCUACCUGGUAUUACUGUUAAUAUAGUGGUAACAGGUGUGCCUACCUGGUAUUACUGUUAAUAUAGUGAUAACAGGUGUGCCUACCUGGUAUUACUGUUAAUAUAGUGGUAACAGGUGUGCCUACCUGGUAUUACUGUUAAUAUAGUGGUAACAGGUGUGCCUACCUGGUAUUACUGUUAAUAUAGUGGUAACAGGUGUGCCUACCUUGUAUUACUGUUAAUACAGUGAUAACAGAACAGGUGUGCCUACCUGGUAUUACUGUUAAUAUAGUGAUAACAGGUGUGCCUACCUGGUAUUACUGUUAAUAUAGUGAUAACAGGUGUGCCUACCUGUAUUACUGUUAAUAUAGAGGUAACAGGUGUGCCUACCUGGUAUUACCAUUCAUAUAGUGGAAACAGGUGUGCCUACCUGGUAUUACUGUUAAUAUAGUGAUAACAGGUGUAACUACCUGGUAUUACUGUUAAUAUAGUGGUAACAGGUGUGCCUACCUGGUAUUACUGUUAAUAUAGUGGUAACAGGUGUGCCUACCUGGUAUUACUGUUAAUAUAGUGGUAACAGGUGUGCCUACCUGGUAUUACUGUUAAUAUAGUGAUAACAGGUGUGCCUACCUGGUAUUACUGUUAAUAUAGUGGUAACAGGUGUGCCUACCUGGUAUUACUGUUAAUAUAGUGGUAACAGGUGUGCCUACCUGGUAUUACUGUUAAUAUAGUGGUAACAGAACAGGUGUGCCUACCUGGUGUUAUAGUAA